rnacentral:lncRNA from 1 species
AAGUUUGACGAUUUUUCCUUGUGGAAAUUAUUUGUGAAAUGUGAUCAACAACGUCGGCUAUCAAGUGGGCUGGCUGUGUUACACUUGAUUUAAUACCUUUUCGGUUUCGCUAGUACUUGUUUGGGAUAGGUGUUGGUAGCAAGUGGAUGUCGAGAGAGACGACAAUGAAAGAUGUGUCAUCGUACCAGCAUAUUAGGGCUGAUUGUUCCUUAAAAAACACCUUAUCCGCUUUGAGCCAACUCUUAGAGAUGAGAAGUUUUUGUUGUCCCGUUGAGUUGGUGUGUAAUGUGUUUUGUGUUGGAUUAUCCCACGUCGGGGUUGAGUGUUGUUUAUAAGUGUGAGGGAAAGUCUCACCUCACUAUUCCUUAUAACUAAACUAAUAGUAUAGAUUUCUCUCCAUGUGAAGAGCGAGUUUUCUUAGAACUGGAUGAAUAAUAUAAACACGUUUCCUCGUAGAUAUUCGAUUAGACCAACCGAGAGAGUUAUACGUAGCGCAUAAUCAAGGUAAGGGGUUUAUUCUUUUUACUGUUACAUUGUAAAUGUUUUUUUAAAUCAUCAAACUGUACAUUGUGAGUGCUGAUUGUACGUAGUCUCUGUUACAUAGCUGCAGGGUACCUUGUACAAUAUUCGCCUGCACAUUCUCCAUACUAUUAAAGGAGACAAAUUGUGGGUUUUUGAUACAUUCCCCUUCACAUACUAUAUGGCUAUGUAUUAUUGAGCUGACGAUAAAGCUAGCAAAGCCAAUGUGCAAGGAAAGAUUCACAACCCUGUGACCAUCUCUUAUUGGACUACUUUGAUUUCUAAGCAGAUGCUGCCCUGAAACAAACAGGGGAAAUAAAAGGGUAUCAUAAAAAGAGCCCUUUUACAGCCUUGGAGCAAAGGAGUGACUUCUUUUAGGGGUCCUAGCUAGCUCCAUUUUGAGAUUCUGUUCAUUUCUACCAAGUGUGUGUAUGUGUAAGGCAAAAGAUUAUGUUUUUUUGGUGAGGUAGUGAAGAAAGUUAAAGUGUGUAAGGGAGAGGAAUAUAUAUGUGAUGUGAGAGGGUUUGCAAGUGAAUGAAAGCCAUGGGAUGGUAAAAGCUUACAAAUUAAAUGUAUUAUGUCGAAUUUUAUUGAUGUUAAAAUACAUUAUAAUGCGAUAUAAAAAUAUACAUAAUAUCCGAAAUAUAUGCG